UACGGAGGAUGCGAGCGUUAUCCGGAUUUAUUGGGUUUAAAGGGAGCGCAGGCUGCGAGGCAAGUCAGCGGUCAAAUGUCGGGGCUCAACCCCGGCCUGCCGUUGAAACUGUUUUGCUAGAGUUCGAGUGAGGUAUGCGGAAUGCGUUGUGUAGCGGUGAAAUGCAUAGAUAUGACGCAGAACUCCGAUUGCGAAGGCAGCAUACCAACUCGCGACUGACGCUGAGGCUCGAAAGCGUGGGUAUCGAACAGG
rnacentral:rRNA from 1 species